rnacentral:tRNA from 1 species
GUGGACGUGGCCAAGCGGUAAAGGCGCCAGGCUGUGGCCCUGGAGAUCGCGGGUUCGAAUCCCGCCGUCCACCCCA